GUGCCAACUAGUUCCGUAGGGUGGACUAACCGACAAAUAUUUGUAACCAGACGAGUUGGACACACAGGAACAGUGAGAUUGAGGGCCCUGCUCAAUGAGCUUACAUGCUAGGGGAAGUGGGGUAAUGCUACACAAAAGGUAAGGGUAGGUUAGUAGUUUGCUAGGAUAGUGUUCAUUGAGGGCUUAGUUUUUUGUUUUGAUGACAGUGUCAAGAGUGGAAUCAGGGUGCGGGGAGGGAAAGCUGUUCACAGUUUAAUUGAUAUGCUUUCCCAAAGAAGUAAG